rnacentral:lncRNA from 1 species
GCUUUAUAUGUUUUUCAGGUGAAGACUUGUUGCACAAUCGGCAUGUGGUAAUUGUUUAUUUUCAUUUUCUAUAUUUACAUGAGAUAAAUUUUUGUGUACUAUUGUUCGUCUGUUUGUGGGUUAUCUGUACUGCUGGUUACUGUGGUAACAGUAUCUAUAUAAAUAAGGUGCAAACAUUAAUCCACCAUUCUGCCUCUAAUGAAGGUCCCUUUUGGACCUAAACAGGUCAGGCCAUCAAACAUCACCAGGCACUGUUAAUUAUGUGAAU